GUUGAAGUUUAGCAGAUUGUUUAGUAAUUGCAAUAUGUCCAUGACCAGUUCAGGAUCAAGAUCUCAAAUCCAUUUAAAAUUCAGUACUUCAUAAUGAAAUUAAAUAUGUCCAUGACCAGUUCAGGAUCAAGAUCUCAAUCCAUUUAAAUUCAGUACUUCAUAAUGAAAUAUUCAGUGAUUUCUUCAUACAGAAGCUCGAACUUCUGUAUGAUUGUUUGAUACUAUUACUGUACCAAAUCACAAAAUCUGUGUAUGAUCAGUUUUUUUUUUGUUUGUUUCUUUUUAGCAAUCAGGUGCAAAUGCAUUUAGGUUUUCAAAAACAAAAGUUUGAAAAAUGAUUCUUUAAUAAUUCUUAAGAUAAACGUAAGAUCAUCUAAGUGUACUCAGCUGUGAUAUUUUGGGACACCAUGAAUAUGAACUAAAAUGUGCUUUUAACAGACUAUCUCUGUCUUUAAAAAAUGUAUUUAGUCACCACUUGUAUUACAGUUGAGUGUACUAAUGUAUGAAAGAUGGGUUCAAGUGUACUAGUGCUAACUGAAUAAUUAAAAAAACAACAACAACAACAACAACAAAAACAGAGAUAGUAUGUUAAAAGUGCAUUUUAGUUCAUAUCAUUGGUGUCCCACAAUAGCAGUUGAGUAAACUUAGAUGAUCUUACGUUUAUCUUAAGAAGUACUAAAGAAUAAUUUUUAGUAUUAAGUACAAAAUUAGAGUGCGAAAAUAGAGCACUUUAUUAUGGAAGUGCACUUUUCUUCACCUGGGAAAGCACUACUCCACUAUUGUUAUAGUAUUAUUAGGGGACAUUCUCAUUUUCUGUAGUUGAUUAUGAAGUAUUAUCCUAGUUUACUAUGCAUGUCACAAUGUACUAUUUCAGAUUUUUUUACCUGAAGUUUUGUAUUAAUAAUGUAUAACGUGUAACAUAAUUAGAUAAAGUAAUAUUUCACUUACUUGAGGUUCAAUGUACCAGUUGUUUUCUCUUGUGCAGCCCAUUAUCCCUUCAAACUUGUAGGCUGAGUACAGCAUCAGCACAUGAAGAAGCAGCAUCAUGAUGAGAGAUGAUGAGAGAUGAUGAAUUAUCAAGUUCUCUGCAGGAACAACAGCCACAUGUGAUACUCUUUUAUAACAGUUUAUACUGUAUAAUAUUUAAAUAACAUUUAAACACUUACCUUCAAUUUAUAGCAGUACAAGUCAAAGAUCAAGUUAUUAUCAAUUAAGAGACAAUAAUGCAAGAAUGUAAGAAACUUGAUUUAAAUACCUUCUGUGUAGUAAGUAAACGUCUACUAUUAGAUACUCAACAAAUAAUAAAGAAUAAAAUGUAAACAUCCAAUGUCAUCUUUAAAAAUAUUACAGUACAUACCGACACCUAAGGCAAGGAAACACUGCUGUUGCGGUGAGAUGGGUGAGUAUUUCUAACCUCCUGUCUUUUUCAUUCAGCAUUUUUAAGGAAUGAUGAGGAACACUUUUAAGGAAAUGAGCAGAGGCACACAAACCUGAUCAACCGCAUAUCUCCCUACGGCUUCAGUACAUAGUUAAACAAAGGUCCACUUAACAAACAUGUGUUUGUUUAUAAAAACUGAAAGCUAACUUUUAAAUGUAUUGAUAUCUGAUGUUUGUUACUGGAUAUAGAAUGUAACAGCUCUAUAGAUCUAAAUCCACCUGACAUGCUCUUUUUGCUGAGUGGCAGAACGGCUGAACAACAUCACAGUCGAAAGACACAGUGUUCAUUUUGGUUUCACCGCUGGUUUAUUUUCUAGUCAUGCAUAGAUCCUUGUCUGCCUGAAUAAGGAAAGACAAGCUUAAGUUUCAGUGACCCAUCAGGCUAAAAGUUAGUCCAGAAAUUGUGCAUAAACAACAUUCUGGAGCACAAAGAUCAGAUGAUGCUCCUGACAAAUUUCCUACAGCUGCCAUAUAUUGAGCAUUAUGUUGUUUUUCAUUGAGUUAUUUGUCUAAUCUUUAUACUAUAUCUGGUCAAAU
rnacentral:lncRNA from 1 species